rnacentral:rRNA from 1 species
GUGCCAGCCGCCGCGGUAAUACGUAGGUGGCGAGCGUUGUCCGGAAUUACUGGGUGUAAAGGGCGUGUAGGCGGGAUUGUAAGUCAGAUGUGAAAUUCCAGAGCUUAACUCUGGCGCUGCAUCUGAAACUGCGAUUCUUGAGUGCUGGAGAGGAUAGUGGAAUUCCUAGUGUAGCGGUGAAAUGCGUAGAUAUUAGGAGGAACACCAGUGGCGAAGGCGGCUAUCUGGACAGUAACUGACGCUGAGGCGCGAAAGCGUGGGGAGCAAACAGGAUUAGAUACCCGCGUAGUCC